rnacentral:rRNA from 1 species
GACGAACGCUGGCGGCGUGCUUAACACAUGCAAGUCGUACGGUAAGGCCCUUUCGGGGGUACACGAGUGGCGAACGGGUGAGUAACACGUGAGUAACCUGCCCACAACUUUGGGAUAGCGCUAGGAAACUGGUGCUAAUACUGGAUAUGUGCUCCUGCUGCAUCGUGGGGGUUGGAAAGCUCCGGCGGUUUUGGAUGGCUUCGCGGCCUAUCAGCUCGCUGGUGGGGUAGUGGCGUACCAAGGCGGCGACGGGUAGCCGGCCUGAGAGGGUGACCGGCGACAUUGGGACUGAGAUACGGCCCAGACUCCUACGGGAGGCAGCAGUGGGGAAUAUUGCACAAUGGGCGCAAGCCUGAUGCAGCAAGGCCGCGUGCGGGAUGACGGCCUUCGGGUUGUAAACCGCAUUCAGCAGGGACGAAGCUUUUUGUGACGGUACCUGCAGAAGAAGCACCGGCUAACUACGUG